rnacentral:rRNA from 1 species
CAGUCGCCGCGGGAAUACGAAGGGUGCAAGCGUUAAUCGGAAUUACUGGGCGUAAAGCGUGCGUAGGCGGUUUGUUAAGUCUGUUGUGAAAUCCCCGGGCUCAACCUGGGAAUGGCAAUGGAUACUGGCAAGCUAGAGUGUGUCAGAGGAUGGUGGAAUUCCCGGUGUAGCGGUGAAAUGCGUAGAGAUCUGGAGGAAUACCGGUGGCGAAGGCGGCCCCCUGGACAAAGACUGACGCUCAGGUGCGAAAGCGUGGGGAGCAAACAGGAUUAGAUACCCCGGUAGUCCCUGUCUCUUAUAC